CCUACGGGAGGCAGCAGUGGGGAAUUUUGGACAAUGGGCGCAAGCCUGAUCCAGCAAUGCCGCGUGAGUGAAGAAGGCCUUCGGGUUGUAAAGCUCUUUUGUCAGGGAAGAAACGGUGAGGGCUAAUAUCUCUUGCUAAUGACGGUACCUGAAGAAUAAGCACCGGCUAACUACGUGCCAGCAGCCGCGGUAAUACGUAGGGUGCAAGCGUUAAUCGGAAUUACUGGGCGUAAAGCGUGCGCAGGCGGUUUUGUAAGUCUGUCGUGAAAUCCCCGGGCUCAACCUGGGAAUUGCGAUGGAGACUGCAAGGCUAGAAUCUGGCAGAGGGGGGUAGAAUUCCACGUGUAGCAGUGAAAUGCGUAGAGAUGUGGAGGAACACCGAUGGCGAAGGCAGCCCCCUGGGUCAAGAUUGACGCUCAUGCACGAACGACGGUGGGGAGGACGAACGAAGGAGUAGUAUACCGUACGGUAGUACCGACCGACCCGUAAACCGAACUAGUCUACUAGUUGUUCGGUUUUAAGUUUAACGUUA
rnacentral:rRNA from 1 species